UAGAUAGUAAAUUGAUAAACAAGCACGUUAAUUAGCUCCCUCUCCAGGGUCAUUUUACCAUAAUGCCCUCUAUAACUUGUACAGUUAGCAAAGUUGUUGAUAUUUAACCCAUACUGUCAGUCAUAGGACCAUGUUUAUGUUGAGAUUAGAUGUUUUGGCUCAAUGCACUUUUCUUUCGUUUGCUUCUAAUCUGGCAACCCAGGCACUCUUGGACUGCUCUGAGCUGCUGUUGUGUAAGAGGUCCGGUGUGUCUCUAAACCUCACUGUUUGUGUUCUGCCUCUUUCAGCUUGGGGUCAUGACCUACGCUGACCUGACCAAACAGAGUCCCGAGACGCAGGCCGCCAUCGAACAGGAAGUCAGGGUCCUUCUUAAGGACUCGUAUGAGCGUGCUAAAAACAUCCUGAAGACCUACAGUGACGAGCACAAGAAGCUAGCCAACGCGCUGCUGACUUAUGAAACAUUAGACGCCAAAGAGAUCAAGCUGGUUGUGGAGGGCAAGGCUCUGGACCCUAGAUGAGUCAGUGGCUGAUAGGGACUCUGAGACAGACGUGGUCUGCUGGAAAUACCAACCUAUGGAAAGGCUUUGUAGAUCACAGAUUAUUAUUUUGUUGUCAUACUCCCCCUUUUACACAAAAUGCAAAUGAAUUUGUGUUUUUACCCACAUCUUUCCUAUUGGAUGCCAUUUAAGAGACUGCACAAAUGCAUGGGAAAACGAAAUGAGCAUAAGCCAUCAUGGCUUCUGCAGCGCAAUGUCAAAUUUGUUUUCUGUAACAGUUCUGUAAAUAAAAUCUCCUAUAUUUGGUAUUUUAUCAAAGUUAUGAGGAAAAACAGUUUGCUGAAACUCAUUUCUGGCCCUAGUAUUUGAUGAAUGAUGAAUUGCUUCAUAGUUGUUUUUUCUGAUGGAUGAAAUCCUCAGUAUUUUAUCGUAGGUGUACAAAAAAAUGAAUUAAGAACCGUACAACCUUAAUGUACAUUUAGAAUGUAACUACAGAAUGGCUGUAUUCAUGUUCUGUCCCCAGUCCGAUUCAUAUGUGAAUUGUGGAGAUCUGCAGAACGUUCAGCUCAGACUUAUUAUUCGUUUUCAUUUACAGUUUUUAUUUAUUAAUGUGCUCAAAGUGUGCUGAUUUUCCAAUAGAAGAAGACCUUCACAUAUUCUAAGUUGAAGUGGAAAUGUAUAUACCGUACUGACAUUGUGUGUAAGGAAACUGAAUACCAUGAUUUGAUCUGUUUCUCUAUUGGAAAGAGGCUCAAAUAAAACGUAUUUAAAAGUGAA